UAAUACAAAUUGAACUAGUAAAGGAACAUUGAACUCUACUUAAACAUUCAGUUGUACCUCUGCUGUAAUGUAAAUUGUGCAGCAUGCAAGCAAGAUUAAAUCAUAAUAAU